AGAGUUUGAUCCUGGCUCAGAUUGAACGCUGGCGGAAUGCUUUACACAUGCAAGUCGAACGGCAGCACGGGUGCUUGCACCUGGUGGCGAGUGGCGAACGGGUGAGUAAUGCGUCGGAACGUACCGAGUAAUGGGGGAUAACGCAGCGAAAGUUGUGCUAAUACCGCAUACGCCCUGAGGGGGAAAGUGGGGGACCGCAAGGCCUCACGUUAUUCGAGCGGCCGACGUCUGAUUAGCUAGUUGGUGGGGUAAAGGCCUACCAAGGCGACGAUCAGUAGCGGGUCUGAGAGGAUGAUCCGCCACACUGGGACUGAGACACGGCCCAGACUCCUACGGGAGGCAGCAGUGGGGAAUUUUGGACAAUGGGGGCAACCCUGAUCCAGCCAUUCCGCGUGAGUGAAGAAGGCCUUCGGGUUGUAAAGCUCUUUCAGCUGGAACGAAACGGUACGCGCUAACAUCGUGUGC
rnacentral:rRNA from 1 species